AAACCCGGUUGAAACAAGAUUGAUCGUGAGAAGUCAGCAGAGGCCAUAGUACGGAGGUAGCGCGAUACCGAAGGAAGGGC
rfam:Desulfotomaculum aeronauticum DSM 10349 genome assembly, contig: EJ44DRAFT_scaffold00023.23